rnacentral:rRNA from 1 species
UCCGUAGGUGAACCUGCGGAGGGAUCAUUACUGAGUUUACGCUCUACAACCCUUUGUGAACAUACCUACAACUGUUGCUUCGGCGGGUAGGGUCUCCGCGACCCUCCCGGCCUCCCGCCUCCGGGCGGGUCGGCGCCCGCCGGAGGAUAACCAAACUCUGAUUUAACGACGUUUCUUCUGAGUGGUACAAGCAAAUAAUCAAAACUUUUAACAACGGAUCUCUUGGUUCUGGCAUCGAUGAAGAACGCAGCGAAAUGCGAUAAGUAAUGUGAAUUGCAGAAUUCAGUGAAUCAUCGAAUCUUUGAACGCACAUUGCGCCCGCCAGCAUUCUGGCGGGCAUGCCUGUUCGAGCGUCAUUUCAACCCUCAAGCUCUGCUUGGUGUUGGGGCCCUACAGCCGAUGUAGGCCCUCAAAGGUAGUGGCGGACCCUCCCGGAGCCUCCUUUGCGUAGUAACUUUACGUCUCGCACUGGGAUCCGGAGGGACUCUUGCCGUAAAACCCCCCAAUUUUCCAAAGGUUGACCUCGGAUCAGGUAGGAAUACCCGCUGAACUUAAGCAUAUCAAUAGGCGGAGGA